CCUACGGGCGGCAGCAGUGGGGAAUUUUGGACAAUGGGCGCAAGCCUGAUCCAGCAAUGCCGCGUGAGUGAAGAAGGCCUUCGGGUUGUAAAGCUCUUUUGUCAGGGAAGAAACGGUGGGGGCUAAUAUCCCCUGCUAAUGACGGUACCUGAAGAAUAAGCACCGGCUAACUACGUGCCAGCAGCCGCGGUAAUACGUAGGGUGCAAGCGUUAAUCGGAAUUACUGGGCGUAAAGCGUGCGCAGGCGGUUUUGUAAGUUUGUCGUGAAAUCCCCGGGCUCAACCUGGGAAUGGCGAUGAAGACUGCAAGGCUAGAAUCUGGCAGAGGGGGGUAGAAUUCCACGUGUAGCAGUGAAAUGCGUAGAGAUGUGGAGGAACACCGAUGGCGAAGGCAGCCCCCUGGGUCAAGAUUGACGCUCAUGCACGAAAGCGUGGGGAGCAAACAGGAUUAGAUACCCUGGUAGUCCACGCCCUAAACGAUGUCUACUAGUUGUCGGGUUUUAAUUAACUUGGUAACGCAGCUAACGCGUGAAGUAGACCGCCUGGGGGAGGUACGGUCGCGAGAAGUUAAAACGUUAAAAGGUAAAGUUAGUACGGCGUGAGACGUGCCGAACGGACGACGACGAGGGGAGGUAGG
rnacentral:rRNA from 1 species